UUUUUUCUUCAUUAUUUCCUAUUUUACAAAUAUUUUGUGUCCUUUCAUUUCUUUUAUCUCCACUAUAAACACACAAUAGUACAAUAAUAUAAUUAACUCCUUAUUUUUCAACUUACAUAACCUACCCCUCUCUAUCAAACACAAAUGGAAUCUCAUUUCUUAGAGCACUAAUUCUCUUUCUUUUCUUUCUUCUCCACUAUAAAUAUAACCUAUUACAAUAUCACAACUCAAUCAAACACAAAUGUAAUCUCACUUCUUUAGAUCAUUCAUUCUCUAUUUAUUUUUUUCAAACUAAUUCUCAGUCUCUUUGCAUUCCUCCAAAAAAAACACACCUCUAAAUACAAGGAAUCCCUGACUUGGCUUCACCUCAACAAGUCAGCUCUCUUUAGUUCAGUUUGACACACUCCUAUGAUAAUCGUAAGCCAUUACCCAUCACCACCCCCAAAUACUCCGAACACACUAAACAAACCUAACACACUCAUUAAAUGAGAAGAUAGUACAUGAGAGGCUUUACCACCUAUCAAGUACAUUGAGAUUUCAUCAUCAUCUUCAUCUUAUUCAUUUUCAUCAUCCUCGAUGUUAAGUAGGAACUCUAACUCUAUAAAUUUGGGUGCCUUCUUUUUCAUUGAAAACACUCUGACCAAUGAUAAAGAAAAUGAGAAAUGGGUCAUUACCUCUUUGAGUUAAAUGAAACAAAUUUGGAUUUUCAGCUUGGUAUCUUAAAACAUAACUACCUUGAUGAUUAGACUGUGUUUGUGGUGUCUAUUUAGAUAGUUUUUUACUUUGGCAAGUUUUAUAUUUUUCCCAGUUGGUACUUUUUGUUGUAAUGAAGUUUAAAAUAAAAGAACAAUUCUUCCAUUUUAUGUUUAUCAUUGCUUUUGUUGAUUUUAUUUGAUAAAGUUUCAAUUUUUUACAAACCUGUUUUCAUCUUGUCGUCUUCUAAUUCUUUUUUUUGUCUUUGAUAAAAGGGAAGAAAGUAUAACAAUAAUAUGUAUGCAGAGAGAUAAGUAACAAGCUAUAAAAAUGUGUGAUUGUCUAUUAUAGUCAAUACCUAGGA
rnacentral:lncRNA from 1 species